UUGACUCAUUGAUCGUCUAUGUGGGACUUCUGAAGGAUAGUAUUGGGAAGGCAAAUCAACUUGCUUAUCACUAUCGACUUAAGCUGGCUGAAAGGUUAAUCUUUACCCAAAAGUGUAUACCUGCAAGUCAGGGUCAAUCUACCUGUCUAGGAUACCCCUCAGUACUUAUGCUGUCAUGAGUCUCAAAGACGUUUUCUUUUCAUCCCCUCCUACCAUGCUAAGGGUCUACAUUUUCUGCUCAAAUUUGAGCCCUUUCUCCUUUUUCAACCUGUA
rnacentral:lncRNA from 1 species